GGGGCUAUAGCUCAGUGGCAGAGCACUCACCUAGCAUGUGUGAGUCACUGGGUUCAAUUCUUAGCAUCA
rnacentral:tRNA from 1 species